CAGGAGUUUUAAAGGUUCAAAACACGUGUUGAGAAAACUGUUCGGUAGGUAGGUACCUAGUUAAUGAGAUAUCGUAAAAGAUGGAAAUUAUGCUACGUCUCGUGUUCGUUUUGAUGUUUUUAGCUAUGAAUUCUCUGCUCUUUAAACUGAAUGGGAGCAAUAUGUAUGUGGCAGGAGUUUCAAAUGAUGUCACUACUAAAGAUUAUCUAUCCAUAGAAUAUGAUCAAAUGUUGAAAGAAGACUCUCUCAAAAACUACUUAAAAGAUUCCUUGCGUGUACAUCAAAUUUCAGACUUUAUUUGCGCAUGCGGUUUUAUACGAGAUAUGUACCUGGAAUAUUACGACUUGGCCAAGUGUUUUUUCAGUCAAAAAUUAGGUUUUCUCAAACCAUGUCGAGAAGUAUGGCAAUUUUACGCCAACACGAGCAACGGAGUUUUUGGUCUGAAGCUUAGAGGACACGUCGAUUACCCGGAAUACACCACAAUGCUGCAACCAGACGAGUACGAUGAUUUUGCUCAUGCAGUCUGUAAAUCGUAUAGGAUGUGUACCUAUCAUAUCUACAACAAUCCCAGAACAGUUCAAGUUGUUGAAAAAUUACAAAAUGGUACUCCACUUACAAUUAUUCAAAUGCUUCGACGUGAGAAACGAAAUUUUCUAUUUACUACUGCUCAAAUGAACCACAUUAAUAGUUUUAUGAUCGCAUCGGGGUUUGGAUCUUUUCCAUUUUUGACGUUUGUCAGGAAUGAUGUGGAAUACGCAGUUCCACAGUUGCAGAAUGCUACCGAACGGUUAAUGUGUCCCAUUCGUAAAAAUAAAACAAAAAAAAAUUAAAGAAUAAAGGCAUAAGAGCGAAGACUGUGAUGACCGAUGAGAGACUGAAUCUAAAAAUAAACUAUGCUGAUGACUACACCUUUUUUUCCAAAAAAACAGAACAUGACAUCAGUUUUAUACACCACUGCUCAACGCCGACGCUGAUCUACUAUCAUCCGCACUCAGAGUUGAAUGAAAUAGAAGUUGAAACGAACGCAGGUACUUACCUAAAGUUCUUCUCAUAGGAGUAGGAGACAGUCAUACGUAUUCGUGGCAAUCAUUUCGACACUUUCUUACGCUGACCUUCGGUAGCUCAAAUUUUACAAUUGUGGUCCUCACGUCAGCAAAAAUGUUCCAUUUUUCACACCAUGCUCACGCAGAGUUGACUAUUGCAAUCUACGUAAUAAGAAACACCAUUUUACUUAUGUUGAAUUGAAAGGCUCUCGGCUACGGGUGAUCAAAACUUUUGCCUUAUUCCAUGGUCAAUUUGCCAAGAAUCGAUAAUUUCCUUCAAGUAUUGGAAUGCGUAGGUGUAUACUUAUUAUUCAAACAGAAUUAAUUACCUAGGUUCCUACUGAUGAGUGCAUGAUAUUUCUCUCUAAGAGAUACUCAAUUUUGUAUAGGUUUUUACGUUCUUGCAUGUGAAAUAAGAUACAAAUAAAAUUAUUUGAUGAGGUACCUA